rnacentral:rRNA from 1 species
AUACGGAGGGUGCAAGCGUCACUCGGAAUCACUGGGCGUAAAGCGCGCGCAGGCGGUCUUUUAAGUUGGAUGUGAAAGCCUACGGCUCAACCGUGGAACUGCAUCCAAAACUAUUAGACUAGAGUGUGGGAGAGGAAGAUGGAAUUAGUUGUGUAGGGGUAAAAUCCGUAGAGAUAACUAGGAAUACCAAAAGCGAAGGCAAUCUUCUGGAACACUACUGACGCUGAGGCGCGAAAGCGUGGGGAGCAAACAGGAUUAGAUACCCCAGUAGUCC